AAAAGGUGUCUGAUAAGAUAUGUUUGUUUUUAAAAGGUGUCUGAAAACAAACAUAUCUUAUCAGACACCUUUU
rnacentral:pre_miRNA from 1 species